rnacentral:lncRNA from 1 species
GUAUCACAGAACUAUGGCCAUCUAUGUUUGUAGCAGAGUGAUGGCUUUUAGGAGGAUUCCCUUGGGGAACAGACACAUGUCCUUCAGAAGAAGGGAAAUCCACACCAGCAGUAAUGUCUAUUUGUGUGGACAUUGAAAGACAUAGAGUCUGGAUUAAACUGAGAAGGGGACUGGACUUGUCUAUGCUUCUCAUCAUUGAGGACCAUAUUAUAGACACUGUCAAGGGUUGGAGGUGACUGCAUCAUCAAUAGGUUACUCCGUACCCCCAUGUAUGCUUCAUUAAGCCCCAUUAGAAACUAAACACCUUAUUCUCAUCAUUUUCCUGUAUUAUACCAUCUUUGGCAGCACAAACACAUCUCUGUCCAUGAUUUGUACACAUAAAUUCUAAUUCAUCCCACAGACCUUUAAGUUUAUUGAAAUAUGAAGCUACAUCUAGGGACCCUUGAGAGGUGUGAGAAAGCUCUCUUUUCAAUUCAAAAAUUUUGGUCAUGUU